UUUUUUUUUUUUUUUNNNNNNNNNNNNNNNNNNNNNNNNNNNNNNNNNNNNNNNNNNNNNNNNNNNNNNNNNNNNNNNNNNNNNNNNNNNNNNNNNNNNNNNNNNNNNNNNNNNNNNNNNNNNNNNNNNNNNNNNNNNNNNNNNNNNNNNNNNNNNNNNNNNNNNNNNNNNNNNNNNNNNNNNNNNNNNNNNNNNNNNNNNNNNNNNNNNNNNNNNNNNNNNNNNNNNNNNNNNNNNNNNNNNNNNNNNNNNNNNNNNNNNNNNNNNNNNNNNNNNNNNNNNNNNNNNNNNNNNNNNNNNNNNNNNNNNNNNNNNNNNNNNNNNNNGAUUUUUUUUUUUUUUUUGUUAAAAGCUUUCUUCGUUUUAAAUUGUCUGAUUUAAAAAAAUGGUUUAAAAAAACAAUGGGGGGGAGAGCCAGCCUCUCGAGACGGUCGAGGCCCAGCCGACUCCCUCCCCUGCCCUACGCGACAGCCCCCGAUCCCCUCCUGGCGCGUCGUCCUCCCCAGCCGCGCAAGUCCCGAUUCCCUCCUCCUCGAUCCACCCCGACCAUGGCCUCGCCGCCUCUCGCUCGCCAUGGCUGCCACGCGCCGCCGCCCCUCGGCCUCGCCCCCCGGUAGCCGCCAAGCCCCCGUCGCCGCCUCACUCUCACGCGGCCUCCUCCUCCCGCGCCAUGGCCGACCUCCACCAGGGAGGUUCCCCUCGCCCGUGCCCCGCCGUGGCCUCCCUCUCCCCGCCGGUGGCCGUCUCCAGCGCCGAUGCCCGCUGCCGUGCUGCCCCGCCGUCCCCCGCACUGCCAGUCCCGCCGCCGUGCUGCCCUGCCAUGGCCUCGAGAUGGCUUGUUGCCUUCGAGUUUGCUGAUGUUCGAUGUGCCCCCGUGCUGGCCCGUCCCCGCGUGGUCGCCGCGCCGCCCAUCCAGGUCGCCUCGCCCCUCGCCCUCGCCUCUUCUCGCGCCGGCCGACGUGCUCGCCGUGCUCGCCCGUCGCCUGCGCCCUGCUGCUGUUGCGUUUUGCCUGCCUGCUGCUGCUGUGUCUCGUUGCUGUUGCCUGUUGCUACGGCUCCUGCUGUUGUUCUGCUUGCUUGCCUGCCGCUUGCCUGUGCUGCUGCACCAUGUUGUGUUGCUCCUGCCGCCGUAUUGCUUCCUGCUGCGAGCAAUGGCAGUUGUUGUGCUUGCCGUUUUGCAUCCUGUAGGUGCUAGGCUGCAUGCCGAGUUAGGUGUUGCCGCUGUUGCUUGCUUUUUGCUGUUGCGUUGCUGCCUGUUAUGCUGCCGAAGGUGCUGCUUGCUUGCGCUUGCUGUCGCCGCUGCUCUGUUGCUAUGUUGCCCUGUUGCCGAGACUGUUAUUUGCCUCCUCCUGCAGAUGCUAGCUUGCGGCUUGGAGAUGCUCUUGCAGGGUGCUAGCAGUGGCUGUGCUUGUCUGUUGCCGAUUUGCUGUUGCUUUGCUAGCUGCUGCUAGUAGAUGCUCUGCUGCCUAGUGCUUGCUGCUGCUAGAUGGUGUUGCUUGCUUGCUUGCCUUGCUAGUGCUGUUACGUAGUAGAUGUUGCUGCUCUUGCUUUUGCCUGCUUUGCUGCUAGUGCUAGAUACUAGUUGAUGUAGGUUGCUAGCUGCAUUGCUAGUUGGCGUAGCAUGCUGCUGUUGCUAUUCCGCGUUGUUGCUAGCUGAUGUUGUUGUGUCGCCUGCCAUCCCCGCCUGCCGUAGAUCCGACAAGAACGGCGAGUACCACGACAUCCUCGACAACCCCGACCAUCUUCGGAAACAUGAACAACUACCGAUGUGAAGACCGUGUACCACGAUGCCGAGCGAACGACUACCGUCGACGAGACUCAAGUACCUCGACGACCACGACUUCCACGACGUCCGCUACGAACCGAACCGCUCCGAUGUGCACGCUCCGAAGGUAUACCGAUGAGACGUGUCGUGUACCGAACACAUAUGAUGUAUGAGUUGAAUAUAUGUAUGCACCGAAUGUUGCCCGUUGCCCGUUGUCUUCUUUCGUCGUGCCUCGACACAUGGGAACCCGAGAUACGGGAUCACCCCAUCUUUAUUUACCGUUCCCGCACGCGUUCCCAGUACGUUGGCACGAUAUCUCGACGAGUUAUCGGGAUAGGAACGUUGCCGUGGCAUCGUUUCCGUCUUGCCGCCUUGGUUCCCUCUCGCUCGCCGUGGCGACACCUGUUUCUUCUCCUUCUUGCCCGUGUUUGAACUCGCAUGCAUGACGCAUUCAUGGCAUAUGAUCUUGUGUUGCAUGUCGCUCGUGCCGUAGCUCCGUUCUAUGUCUCGCGUGUUACCCGACUAGGAUGCCACGUAGAACCGUCGCUUCACCACUUGCCAUGUUAACAACAUUUAAUAUUGCGUGUUAAAUAAUCGGAGUGAAUUAAAUAAUUAAACGUGGGGUUUCAUCGAUAUGCAACCCGUUGCAUAUUGAGCUUCAUUUAAUGUGUAGUGUUUGCGUGAGGUGAUUUGCCAUGCCAUCCCUUGCAUAUUGAACUGAUCAUGCAUCAUAUUAGGGUACGCAUCAUGUCUUGCUUUUGUUGUGGUGAAUAUCUGUGUUGAUGUUUGUUUCCGGUUUGCUCCAUCUCGAUAGAGUUCUGCAAGCGUGUCGGAAUGUGAGGACCCGUUCGACUACGUUGGUUCGCCGACUUCUCGGAGUUGUUCUUGUUCCAAGCGGGAUCUCAGGCAAGAUGACCAUUUCCCCAGAUACCAUUACUAUCAUUGCCAUGCUAGUUAUUUCGAUGCUUUCGAUUAUGUCUCGUUGCCUACCACGUGUUAAAUAUCACCCUCUCAACAAUGCCGUGAUUACCUUCAACCUGUUCGACCUAGCAAACCACUGAUUGGCUAUGUUACCGCUUGCUUAACCAUGUUGUUAGCGUUGCUAGUUGUAGGUGAAGUUGCUUCCAUGUGUUAACAUGGGUUCCUUGUCAUAUCACCGUAUUAAAUGCUAUUUAAUAUAAUGCACCUAUAUACUUGGUAAAAGGUGGAAGGCUCGGCCUUUCUAGCCUGGUGUUUUGUUCCACCUUUGCCCCCUUAGUUUCGGCUACCGGUGUUAUGUUCCAUAAAUGAGCACUCCUAACACGAUCGGGGUUGUUAUGGGGACCCCCUUGAUAAUUCGUUUUAGAUUAAAGCUGGUCCAGCAAGGCCCAACAUUGGUACUACAUUUUCCCAACAUAAUAACUUGUUAAUACUGAAAGCAUAGGGCGUCAUGAACCCGAGGAGUAAUUUUACAUAAUACAGGGGGGCCAGUGCUGUUGAUGCUGGUCCAAAACUAGAGCCGUUUGCGGGGCCAACCCGGGGCAACUCGGGAGAUUUCUAUCAGGCCACCGUACGCUGUGCUUAUCCGUCAUGUCCUGAGAACGAGAUACACGGCUCCUAUCGGGAUCGUCGACACGCCGGGCGGCCUUGCUGGAUUAGUUUUACCUUUAACGAGAUAUCUUGUGCAUCGGGAUUCCGGUGAUGCUUUGGGUAAUCUCAGAGUUGAGGUUUUCCACUAGGGAAUCCGACGAGAUCGCGAGCUUCGUGAGUGAGGAUUUCUAUGCGGCUUGUGGUAAUUUGUGAUGGACUAGUUGGAGCACCCCUGCAGGGUUAAAUCUUUUCGGAAAGCCGUGCCCGCGGUUAGGUGGCAACGUGGAAACUUUGUUUAAUACUGGUUCUAGAUAACUUGAAGUUAACUUAAUUAAAACUUGCCAACUGUGUGCGUAACCGUGACUGUCUCUUUCGUGAGUUCUUUCUCCGAUCGAGGACACGGUGGGGUUAUGUCUAACGCAGGUAGGUGUUCAGGGUCAUUCAUGUGAUCAUCGGUAGUUCACGUCCGUUAUGCGUAGAUCUUCCCCCUCUCAUUUCUUGUACUCGUAAGUUUAGCCACCAAAUAUAUGCUUAGCUGCUGCUGCAACCUCACCACUUAACCAUGCCUCACCCAUUAAGCUUUCCUAGUCUUGAUACCUUUGAAAAUGAGAUUGCUGAGUCCCCUGUGGCUCACAGAUUACUACAACACCAGUUGCAGGUACAGGUAAAGGUUACUCGACGCGAGCGCGUUGAUUGUUCAUUUGGAGUUGCUUCUUCUUCUUCUUCUUCAUUGAUCUAGGAUGGGUUCCAGGCCAGCAGCCUGGGAUAGCAAGGAUGGACGUCGUUCUUAUUUUUCUUGUUUGUUUUCGUCCGUAGUCGGACCCUGCUCUUACUCUUGAUGAUUAUGUAAUGUACUGAUGUGACUCUGAUAUAGCUUGUGGCGAGUGUAAGCCAACUCUAUAUAUAUCUCUUCUUUUCAAUACAUGUACUUGUAACGAUAUCCAUUCCUGCGACACGACGAGAUGCGCUUCUAUCCCUGACGAGGCCUUCGUGCCAAAUUGAGGAUAGGGUCGCAUCUUGGGCGUGACAAUUCCAGAGUUGUACUCGAUGCUCAAGUCUGCAGAAGUAGAAAUCAAGAAAGAGCAUCAAGUGUUGAUGGUCAACAAGACCACUAGUUUCAAGAAGGGCAAGGGUAAGAAAAACUUCAAGAAAGACGGCAAAGCCGUUGCUACGCCCGGUAAGCCAGAUGCCGGAAAGAAGAAAAAGAAUGGACCCAAGCAUGAAACUGAGUGCUUCUAUUGCAAGGGAAAUGGUCACUUGAAACGGAACUGCCCCAAAUACUUAGCGGACAAGAAGGCCGGCAACGUUAAAGGUAUAUGUGAUAUACAUGUUAUUGAUGUGUACCUUACCAGCGCUCGUAGUAGCUCCUGGGUAUUUCAUACCGGCGUUGUUGCUCACAUUUGCAACUCAAAGCAGGAACUACGGAAUAAGCGGAGAGUGGCAAAGGACAAGGUGACGAUGCGCGUCGGGAAUGGCUCCAAGGUCGAUGCGAUCGCCGUCGGCACGCUACCUCUACAUCUACCGCCGGGAUUAGUUUUAAACCUUAAUAAUUGUUAUUUAGUACCAGCUUUAAGCAUGAACAUUGUAUCAGGGUCUUGCUUAAUGCGAGACGGCUACUCAUUUAAGUCAAAGAAUAAUGGUUGUUCUAUUUAUAUGAGUGAUAUGUUUUAUGGUCAUGCUCCGUUGGUGAAUGGUUUAUUCUUGAUGAAUCUCGAUCGUGAUGUUACACAUAUUCAUAGUGUGAGUACCAAAAGAUGUAAAGUUGACAAUGAUAGUCCCACAUACUUGUGGCACUGCCGCCUUGGUCAUAUCGGCGUUAAGCGCAUGAAGAAGCUCCAUACUGAUGGACUAUUAGAGUCUCUUGAUUUUGAAUCAUUUGACACAUGCGAACCGUGCCUCAUGGGCAAGAUGAGUAAGACUCCAUUCUCAGGAAUAAUGGAGAGAGCAACCAACUUAUUGGAAAUAAUACAUACUGAUGUGUGUGGUCCAAUGAACGUUGAAGCUCGCGGUGGCUAUCGUUAUGUUCUCACUCUCACCAAUGAUUUGAGUAGGUAUGGGUAUAUCUACUUGAUGAAGCACAAAUCUGACAUUUGAAAAGUUUAAGGAAUUUCAGAGUGAGGUCGAGAAUCAACGUGACAGAAAAAUUAAGUGUCUAUGAUCUGAUCGUGGAGGAGAAUAUUUGAGUCACGAGUUUGGCACACACCUAAGGAAGUGUGGAAUCGUUUCACAACUGACGCCGCCUCGCACACCGCAACGCAAUGGAGUGUCUGAACGUUGUAAUCGCACUUUAUUAGAUAUGGUACGAUCUAUGAUGUCUCUUACCGACUUACCGCUAUCAUUUUGGGGAUACGCAUUAGAAACUACAACAUUCACUUUAAAUAGGGCAGCGUCGAAAUCCGUUGAGACAACACCGUAUGAACUAUGGUUUGGCAAGAAACCUAAGUUGUCGUUUCUUAAAGUUUGGGGCUGCAAUGCUUAUGUGAAUAAACUUCAACCAGAAAAGCUCGAACCCAAAGCGGAGAAAUGCGUAUUCAUAGGAUACCCUAAGGAAACUAUUGGGUAUACCUUCUAUCUUAGAUCCGAAGGUAAAACCUUUGUUGCCAAGAACGGAUUCUUUCUAGAGAAAGAGUUCCUCUCGAAAUAAGUAAGUGGGCGGAAGGUAGAACUUGAUGAGGUAAUUACACCCCCUCUCGAACAGGAUAGUAGCGCAACGCGGGAAGUUGUUCCUGUGGCGCCUAUACCAACUGAAGAGGAAGUUAAUGAUAAUGAUCAUGAAGCUUCGGAUCAAGUUACUACUGAACCGCAAAGGUCCACGAGGGCACGCUCCGCACCAGAGUGGUACGACAACCCUGUGAUGGAAAUCAUGUUGUUAGACAACGGUGAACCUUCAAACUAUGAAGAAGCGAUGGCGGGCCCGGAUUCCAGCAAAUGGCUUGAAGCGAUGAAAUCCAAGAUAGGAUCCAUGUAUGAGAACAAAGUAUGGACUUUGGUGGACUUGCCCGAUGAUCGGCGAGCCAUAGAAAAUAAAUGGAUCUUCAAGAAAAAGACUGAUGCAAACGGUAAUGUAACCGUUCAUAAAGCUCGACUUGUCGCAAAGGGUUUUUGACAAAUUCAAGGAGUUGACUACGAAGAGACUUUCUCUCCCGUAGCGAAGCUGAAAUCAGUCCAAAUCAUGUUAGCAAUUGCCUCCUUUUAUGAUUAUGAAAUUUGACAAAUGGACGUCAAAACAGCGUUCCUUAACGGGAACCUUAAGGAAGAGUUGUAUAUGAUGCAACCAGAAGGUUUUGUCAACCCUAAGGGUGCUAACAAAGUGUGCAAGCUCCAGCGCUCCAUCUAUGGGAUGGUGCAAGCAUCUCGGAGUUGGAACAUUCGCUUUAAUAAGGUGAUUAAAGCGUUUGGGUUCAUACAGGUUUACGGAGAAGCCUGUGUGUACAAGAAAGUGAGUGGAAGCUCUGUAGCUUUCCUCAUACUGUAUGUGGAUGACAUAUUAUUGAUGGGGAACAAUAUAGAGAUGUUGGAAAGCAUAAAGGCCUAUUUGAACAAGAGUUUUUCAAUGAAGGACCUUGGAGAAGCUGCAUACAUAUUAGGCAUCAAGAUAUAUAGAGAUAGAUCGAGACGCCUCAUAGGUCUUNNNNNNNNNNNNNNNNNNNNNNNNNNNNNNNNNNNNNNNNNNNNNNNNNNNNNNNNNNNNNNNNNNNNNNNNNNNNNNNNNNNNNNNNNNNNNNNNNNNNNNNNNNNNNNNNNNNNNNNNNNNNNNNNNNNNNNNNNNNNNNNNNNNNNNNNNNNNNNNNNNNNNNNNNNNNNNNNNNNNNNNNNNNNNNNNNNNNNNNNNNNNNNNNNNNNNNNNNNNNNNNNNNNNNNNNNNNNNNNNNNNNNNNNNNNNNNNNNNNNNNNNNNNNNNNNNNNNNNNNNNNNNNNNNNNNNNNNNNNNNNNNNNNNNNNNNNNNNGUUCUUGCCAGUUUUGCAUGGUAUGAGAUUGAGUAAGACUCAGUCGCCGACCACGACAGCAGAUAGAGAGAAGAUGAGUUAUGUCCCCUACGCUUCAGUCGUAGGCUCUCUUAUGUAUGCCAUGUUGUGUACCAGACCUGAUAUAAACCUUGCCAUAAGUUUUGUAGGGAGGUACCAAAGUGAUCCCGGUAUGGAACACUGGACAGUGGUCAAGAAUAUCCUUAAGUACAUGAAAAGGACUAAGGAAAUGUUUCUCGUUUAUGAAGGUGAUGAAGAGCUAUUCGUAAAGGGUUACGUCAACGCUAGCUUCCACACAAAUCCGGAUGACUCUAAGUCACUGACCGGAUACAUAUAUGUUUUGAAUGGUGGGGCAGUGAGCUGGUGCAGCAGCAAGCAAGAAGUCGCGACAACAUCUACAUGUGAAGCGGAGUACAUAGCUGCUUCAGAAGCGUCUCAUGAAGGGAUUUGGAUGAAGGAGCUCAUCACCGACCUUGGAGUGGUUCCAAGCACGUCGGGUCCAAUGACACUCUUCUGUGAUAAUACUGGGGCCAUUGUCAUAGCCAAGAAGCCCAGGUUUCACCGGAAGACGAAGCACAUCAAACGCCACUACAACUCCAUCUAGGACCAUGUCUAGAGUGGAGUAAUAGAUAUUUGUAAAGUACACACGGAUCUGAAUAUUGCAGACCCGUUGACUAAACCUCUUCCACGAGCAAAACAUGAUCAACACCAUAAUGCUAUGGGUGUUCGAUACAUCACAAUGUAACUAGAUUAUUGACUCUAGUGCAAGUGGGAGACUGUUGGAUGCCCUAGAGGCAAUAAUAAAAUGGUUAUUAUCAUAUUUCCUUGUACAUGAUAAUCGUCUAUUGUUCAUGCUAUAAUUGUAUUAACAGGAAACAGUAAUACAUGUGUGAAUAAAUAGAUCACAAUGUGUCCCUAGCAAGCCUCUAGUUGGCAAGCUCGUCAGUCAAUAGAUGAUCAUGGUUUCCUGAUCAUGGGCAUUAGAUGCCAUUGAUAACGGGAUCACAUCAUUGGGAGAAUGAUGUGAUGGACAAGACCCAAUCCUAAGCAUAGCACUAGAUCGUAUUGUUCGUAUGCUAAAGCUUUUCUAAUUUCAAGUGUCUUUUCCUUCGACCGUGAGAUUGUGCAACUCCCGGAUACCGUAGGAGUGCUUUGGGUGUAUCAAACGUCACAACGUAACAGGGUGACUAUAAAUGUGCACUACGGGUAUCUCCGAAAGUGUUUGUUGGGUUGGUACGAAUCGAGAUCGGGAUUUGUCACUCCGUGUGACGGAGAGGUAUCUCUGGGCCCACUCGGUAGAACAUCAUCAUGAGCUCAAUGUGACUAAGGAGUUAGUCACACGAUGACGUGCUACAGAACGAGUUAAGAGACUUACCGGUAACGAGAUUGAACAAGGUAUAGGUAUACCGACGAUCGAAUCUCGGGCAAGUUCUAUACCUACAGACAAAGGGAAUUAUAUACGGGAUUGAUUGAAUCCUUGACAUCGUGGUUCAUCCGAUGAGAUCAUCGUGGAGCAAGUGGGAGCCACCAUGGGUAUCCAGACCCCGCUGAUGGUCAUUGGCCAAAGAGGUGUCUCGGUCAUGUCUACCUGUCUCCCGAACCCGUAGGGUCUACACACUUAAGGUUCGAUGACGCUAGGGUUAUAGGAAAUUGUUAUACGAGGUUAUCGAAAGUUGUUCGGAGUGCCGGAUGAGAUCCCGGACAUCACGAGGAGCUCCGAAAUGGUCCGAAGGUAAAGAUUGAUAUAUAGGACGGAUGGUUUCGGACACCGGAAGUGUUUCGGGCGUCAUCAGUAACGUACCGGGACCACCGGGACCACCAGAGGUGGCCCGGGGGUCCACCAAAAGAGGACAACGACCCCGGGAGGAUAGAUGGGCCAAGUGGGGAAGGGAACUAGCCCCUAGGUGGGCUGGUGCGCCCCCACUCAGCCCAUGGCGCAGGAAGAGGGGAGAGGGGGGGAACCCUAGCGCAGGUGGGCCUAAGGCCCACCAGAGGGGUGCGCCACCCCUCCUCCCUGCCCUGGCCGCCGCACCUCCCAUCUGGGGGGCUGCUGCACCACCUAGGGUGGGAACCCUAGGGGUGGCACCCCCCUCCCCUCCUCCUAUAUAUAGUGGGCACUUUUGGGCUUUUGAAGAUAGACUUUUCCCUCUCCCUCGGCGCAGCCCUGCCCUUCUUUCUCCUCCUCUCUGCCGGUGCUUGGUGAAGCCCUGCCGGAAGACACCGUCUCUCCAUCGACACCACGCCGUCGUGCUGCUGGAGUUCUUCCCCAACCUCUCCCUCCUCCUUGCUGGAUCAAGGUGCGGAAGACGUCACCGGGCUGCACGUGUGUUGAACACGGAGGUGCCGUAGUUCGGCACUAGAUCGAAAUCACACCGCGAUUCGAAUCGUCGCGAGUACGACUCCAUCAACCGCGUUCUAGUAACAUUUCUGCUUAGCGAUCUUCAAAGAUAUGAAGAUGCACUCACCCCUCUCUCGUUGCUGGUCUCUCCAUAGGAAGAUCUGAAUAUGCGUAGGAAUUUUUUUGAAUUUAUGCUACGUUACCCAACAGGUAUCCUCUUCCUAUUUGGGUUCCGCAUGAAAACCUCUUGUCCAUUUUGGGCUCGGCAGCGGUGACACUUUAUGCCGUCUUCGCUUCCGAGGUCAUUUUCAUGGAGUUUAGGUGUAACUAAAUUAGUAUCAUUAGACCUAUCAUGGACUGUAGUUCCCUAUUUUUAUUUUUUUACAAACUUGAUCAAACAUAGAAGUAGAAGUGCUUGACUUUAAAAAUAAUAACCCACCUUAAAGUAUUUAAAAACGAAGAGUUACUAUAACUGAACAGUCAAGCUUAUAACAAUGGUGACCUGGUCGGAUUGGACCAGAAAGUCUCUUCCAUCAGGGUUUACUAUAUGAAAUAAGUGGAGUUUGGAAAAUAAACGCAGAUCAACGUGUCGGAGUUCACCGACAUGGCGUCAUGGGAGCGUGCUCAGCAAGAUCCCGAUAGUCACGAGGUUAUGCGUUCUCCGAUCCAUCAGGACUGACUAAAGGCGCAGGCGUGGACGCCUCCUACUGCGGAGGCGUCGACCCAAACUUUGUGGUUGAUGUCGAGCUAGGAGUGAAAGGAGAUGCCUUUUACCCCUCCUACCGUGACGGGGCACCGUGAUGUAGACGGUUAGGGGUGCCUCUCGGACAUGGAUGUCGGGGCAGUGGUCCCGUGUGGCGGUCCGCUUGGUGGGCUCUCCAGCGGGUACCAUGGCGGCAUGGAUGGCUUUCCCUCUUGGUCAUGUAAGCGGGGAAAGGUAGAGCGGUGGGUGGCUUGGGCAUGCUCUUUGAUUUAGACAGUGAUGACACCCCUAUCCGGCUGUGGAGAUAUGUUCUCGUCGCACUUGUCCUGGAGACCUCGAGGUGGCUCGGUGAAGCGGCCGAGCGAAAGCUCUGCACUUUUUCGUUGCGGGCGCUCCUUUCUUCUUGAAAACGUCGUCCUGGUGCUGCUCUCAAUGUCUAGCUUCCGGGUAAAAACCUUUGUCCAUUUUGGACUCGGCAGCGGUGACGCUUUAUGCCGUUUUUCCUCUUAAGAGCAUUGUCAUGUUUUUCCUCUUAAGAGCAUUGUCAUGGAGCUUAGAUGUACUAGGGCAUUGCGUGACGUUAUACUCGAUCACACUAUGUUAUCUUUCUGUUGUGUAGUCGCUUGAGGAUUCCAUCGUGUACUCUGUUUGCUUGUUGCCUUACAUAUAAAGCGUUACGAAAGGUUUUUUUUAAGAAAAAAAGAAAAAGAAACACAAUAAUAUGGCAUGGGUCUCAUAUAUAUAGACACACAGAUAAACAGUUGCCCCUUUUCCUGAACAAUUCCUGAAGGCUAGUUCUACUACUCCUCUCUCUAUCCCAAAAUAAAUACCGUUGACUUAGCACGUACUCCCUCCGUCCCAAAAUAAGUGUCUCAACUUUAUACUAGCUCUAGUACAAAUUUGUAUUAAGCUUGAGACAGUUAUUUUGGGACGGAGGGAGUACAACUUUACACUAAAGCUAUAGUAACUCAGUAACUAAUUUUUGGACGGGGGAGUAGUAUCUAGCUAGGCCUGGCAAAUUGAUAAGUGAACAUAGGCCGGGAAACGCUAUGACGAUCGAGUAUAUCAGAAAAUAUAGGUAUGAAUCUCUUCCUAAUUCCUAAUAAUAAAGCGAAUAUUGUUUCUGGUCGUCCGUCCUUUCAACUGAUUCAUAUCAAUUUAUAUACAUUUAAAGAUUAUUUGUAAUAUCAAUCAGCCUUCUCAAAAAAAUAAAAAAUAAAUAAGAGCAACUAGGGAUCUCGGGCGAGGGAAAGAGGAGGGAUCGAGCAGCAGCGCACCAGCGCUCUGGAUCUGGUCUGGAACGGGGCAGCGGAGGGGCUGUCAUGCAGUAGAGGACACGACCGGCGGCGGCGCUCCGGCAGCCUGGGAGCAGAGAAGGCCAGACGAGGCGAGGCGUCGCCAUGGCGCGGUAUGACAGCGACCCGCCGGAGGUGGAGUGGGAGAGGCAGCGACUUGCUGGCGCCGGAGGAGGCGAGGCGUCGCCAUGGCGCGGUAUGACGGCGACCCGCCGGAGGUGGAGCGAGAGAGGUGGCGGCGCUCCGGCAGCCUGGGAGCAGAGAAGGCCGGAGGAGGCGAGGCGUCGCCAUGACGCGGUAUGACGGCGACCCGCCGGAGGUGGAGCGAGAGAGAUCAGGCGGCGCGGGGGAUGCGGGUCUGCAGACGGUGCAUGGAGGGGGGAUCCCGCCAGUGUGCGCAGCUUUGGGUGAUGAGUGGGCAGGGCCGUGGGGAUCCCUUCGAUGGCAGGCAACAAGAUAAGGCUGCGAGGAAUUACAAGUCCGCUGGAGAAGCACAACGAGGCGUCUGGCUUCUUCUAGACCAGUUGACGUGUUACUAGCGCAUGUUGUCUUUUUUCUUUUUGUGUCCACGAACCGAUAAAAAGCUCUGAAUUCAUCAGGAGGAUGUGUUAGGGUGCACACAAUCUUUUUUAGCUAGACAUUUAUUUUCCGUUCACUAACCAUUGAUAAUCUGAUUCAUAAUGUCAUAACAUUUUUUCUUUGCUUCCUAAAUUGUAUUCAUAAAAAACAUAACACUAGCCACACAUGCACCGUCAUUAAUUAACUCACUCAUGCUUAUUUGAAACUAUGUUUAGGGAUACCUGAGUACAUUUUUUUAUUUAAACAAAAAAUAUUGUAAAUAAAAUUAAAAAGUAAAGUACUUAAAACUAGCUUUCUACUUUCUUAAACAAAGGAUUACACAAAUUGUUAUCUAUACGACAAUGACUUUACAGUUAACACACACAAAAGAAAAAUGCAUGCCUGAACGUCGGACGAAGUAUACGAUAUUUUUAAAAGGUGCAAUUUAAAUCUUCACAGGCCGGUAAAAAUCUCCAUCCCGUGGACAUGUUAGUUGAUCUUCAUGGACGGGUAAAACCUCCAAAACUAUGCACAGUUGCCGGAUUGAUGCUACAUAUUCUUUUGAAUGUCGAAUUUGACUUUAUUUACGUCCCUCACAAACUCGUACUCAUUGGCUAGUAGGACACGAAAACAAAAAAGGAACAAACAUCAUGAUAUUUCUAGCCCGUUGCAACGCACGGGCAUUUGUACCAGUCCAAAAUCAACAGAAGAAUAGAGCAUAUGCAUCCAUUGAUGUCGACCAGUAUUAUGCCGUUUUUAUUUUUUAAGCUUGAACUUGAUUGGGUGUGUGCAUGUGAGUUAAAACUUUUAAGUAGUAAAGCGCCUUUUAUCAGAAAAAAUCGACGCCGAUCGACCGUUGUGCAUCAACGAAGAAGAACCAGUAUCUCAAACACAAUCUUUGUGCUAAUAUCAAAUUUAUAUUUUACCGACUGAUGACAAUAGUAUACGGCCGGAGUUAACAAAAGAUCAUAUUACCAGAUACAAAACUCAACACAUAAACUGCACAUAGAUCACAGAAUCGAAGGAUUCAAACAGGAUCACACAUACACCCAUACUAGCUACCACUAGGUAGCUUCAUAUCGAUUUGGUAUAGCUAGCUAGUAGUUACACGAGACAAAGGAUUUAGGAUACAAUACACAUCGUGCUGUGAUCUUCACCGGUAGUCUUACAGGGGGGAGAUCAUCAUGGCCCCCGGUCGAGAAGUUACAAUUGCCAAAGGAUAGAAGUUGCCCUACCUUAGUAGAGGUGAGAAGUCGCCGCCGCCGCUGCCGCCACCGCCGUGGACGAGGCCGCCCUGCCGGCCAGCCAACCAUGGCCGUUUCGCCCAGAGCUUCCUCAAGAACCCAAGUAGCCUAGCUAGCUGCAGCUUGAUGCAAACCAGAGAUAGCUAGCCAACGCCGGAUCCAUCGGUUGCUACGUACGCGCCCAGGGACCAUGGCCGAGGGCACACUCCGAGUGAGGAUGGGAGCAGGCAUGCAUGCAGCUGGUACUGGUCG
rnacentral:lncRNA from 1 species